UUGGAGGGCAAGUCUGGUGCCAGCAGCCGCGGUAAUUCCAGCUCCAAUAGCGUAUAUUAAAGUUGUUGCAGUUAAAAAGCUCGUAGUUGAAUUUCGGGAUCAAUAUUUCGGUCAUGCCGUUGGUACGCACUGUUAUCAUUGAUUUCUCACCUUCUAAAGAACCGUAAUGCCAUUAAUUUGGUGUUACGGGGAAUUAGGACUGUUACCUUGAAAAAAUUAGAGUGUUUAAAGCAGGCUCACGCUUGAAUACAUUAGCAUGGAAUAAUGAAAUAGGACAUCCGAUUCUAUUUUGUUGGUUUCUAGGAUCGAUGUAAUGAUUAAUAGGGAUAGUUGGGGGCAUUAGUAUUCAAUUGUCAGAGGUGAAAUUCUUGGAUUUAUUGAAGACUAACUACUGCGAAAGCAUUUGCCAAGGAUGUUUUCAUUAAUCAAGAACGAAAGUUAGGGGAUCGAAGACGAUCAGAUACCGUCGUAGUCUUAACCAUAAACUAUGCCGACUAGGGAUCGGAUGAUGUUAAUUUUUUAAUGACUCAUUCGGCGCCUUACGGGAAAC
rnacentral:rRNA from 2 species